rnacentral:rRNA from 1 species
AUUCCAGCUCCAAUAGCGUAUAUUAAAGUUGUUGCAGUUAAAAAGCUCGUAGUUGGAUUUCUGGACUGGUCGGCCGGUCCGCGACAUGUUCGUGUGUACCUGGUGUGAUUAGUCCAUCCUUGAUGGGAACUAUGGUCACCGUUAAUUCGGUGCUGUAGGGAACAUCAUCGUUUACUGUGAGAAAAAUAGAGUGUUUAAAGCAGGCGUUUGCUCUGAAUACGUUAGCAUGGAAUAAUAAGAUAGGACUUUGGUGCUAUUUUGUUGGUUGCAGCCCAAGGUAAUGAUUAAUAGGGACAGUUGGGGGUAUUCAUAUUUAAUUGUCAGAGGUGAAAUUCUUGGAUUUAUGAAAGAUGAACUUAUGCGAAAGCAUUUACCAAGGAUGCUUUCAUUG